GAUGAACGCUGGCGGCGUGCCUAACACAUGCAAGUCGAGCGGCAGCGCGGGGUGCUUGCACCCUGUCGGCGAGCGGCGGACGGCUGAGUAACGCGUGGGAACGUGCCCUAAAGUGCGGAAUAACUGCCCGAAAGGGUAGCUAAUACCGCAUAUUAUCUUCGGACCAAAGGAUUUAUCCGCUUUGGGAGCGGCUGGCGUCGGUUUAGGUAGUUGGUGAGGUAAUGGCUCACCAAGCCGACGAUCCGUAGCUGGUCUGAGAGGAUGACCAGCCAGACUGGAACUGAGACACGGUCCAGAAUCCUACGGGAGGCAGCAGUGAGGAAUCUUCCACAAUGGGCGAAAGCCUGAUGGAGCAACGCCGCGUGCAGGACGAAGGCCUUCGGGUUGUAAACUGCUUUUAUAAGUGAGGAAUAUGACGGUAACUUAUGAAUAAGGAUCGGCUAACUACGUG
rnacentral:rRNA from 1 species